rnacentral:lncRNA from 1 species
UGUCUAAUAGUGUAGUUACGUUGUAGAUAAAUUCAUAAUUCGUGUCUACUACUAUAGUAAUGUUUUGUAAUGACCCAAUAUUGCACAUUAAGGAGUAUAGAGACGAUAUAUAUAGUAGAUGACGUGGAAGAUGCCGUGAAAGGUGGUGUGGCAACUGACGUGGAAAGGUGACGUGGCAAGUGACAUAAAAAGGUAACAUGGUAGCUAACGUGGAGAGGUGACAUGGCAGCUGAUGUGAAGAGGUGAUGUGGCAGGUGACAUGUUUUAUAGUAACGCCUGAAUACGUGUUAACAAAAGUAGAAACAAUAUUGUAGCCAUGUUUUUAUUGCAUGUCUACGUACAUCGAUAUGUUGUAUACGUCAUAGCGUGUAUUAAGUACUGUAGAAACAAUUUCGUACAUACAUCUAUGUUUUGUAUAGUAAUAUAGACACAUUAUAUUGACAUAUUGUAAUGCGUUAUUACGUCCCAAAAAAAUAGACAUUUUCAUUAUAUAUAUAGUGCAUCGAGAUGAAUGUAGAAAUAGUUAGAAUCAUUUUUUUAUUUUUUGUUUUUUAUUAAUAAUGGGAAGUAAACCAUCAAUGAUAUUGUAAUUGGCCUUGACAAAACAACAAGAAUCUAACUAACUCGAUUUCCAAUAUGUCCAUUACUGAUCAGAUUAUGUUCACAAAGAAGCAUAGAGAAAGUGAUAAUAUCAUAAAAUAUUACUUAAAUACUUUUUUGUAACAACUAAAACUUGAAAUUUGUACUUUGCCUCCAUCUAGCUUUGUCCACAUGCUGUGUGUACCAACUUGUUGCGGGUACGAAAUGAAUUUCUAGCUUUCUCCACCUACAAUGAAGCAUGUGUUAGAUGAAUAACUCAAUUUGAAGAUGUUACUGUCCUAUUUUGAAUGAAAAAAGUUCAAAGUUAAAUGUGAACUUGGCCAAGCAAUAAUAUAUCAACAACAUCAAUUAGUGUAUGAAUAUGAUCAAAUGGUCUAGGUACCUCCUCAUCUCCAAUAUUGCCAUGUAUAAUACUCUCAAGGCCUUCAACAUAAAUCCCCAAGUAUUUUGUUCCAAGCUUUAUUUCUAAAAUCUCUCUUGCUCUCUCUCUCUCUGGCUAUUAGUAGUUACUAACUUUCCUUUGGCCACAACUCUGCCUUUGUUUAUCACUGAAAUGAGAUAGACUUUCUCUUGUUUUUUCACGAAAAAUACAUACCAAUGAUAAAUUAGAGAGGAUGAUCCUUUUUGUAUUUUCGUCACAAAUUCAGCAAGUGUUUUAUGUCUAUGACCCAAAAGCUGAACCAUGGAAUACUGUGGUGAGAGUUAGUCUGCGAGAUAAUUUUGACAUGGACGUAGAACUCUCUGCCCGGUCAUAUGAUGCUAUAGUUGAACAUUGUGGGGUUUUUUUUUGCUCUGAAUGGUAAUGAACCAAUCUGUGUUACUUUAGGUAGGAGGUGCGAACUUGUUGGGUUACUGGUAUCUAGUGUACACAUUUCCCUAUUUGAUUAAAUAGUGUAAUCCAUGUGACCUGUAACAUGCCUUAUUUAAUUGUUCCCUGCUCUAAUGUUUUCUGGUUAUGAGUUAAUAGUAGCGGCAAUUCAAUAUUGAAUUUCAGACAUUCAGUGCAACUGCUAGGCUUGCCUUGUGUAAUCAUUGCUUACAUGUGUCUAAUUAUUCCAGCUUAAUUAUUAGCUUUAGUUGCUUGCUUGUGUUGGCUAAUGAGCAGUAGUAG